ensembl:lincRNA
AUUAAUGAAGUUGGUUUGACAGGUACCUGUGGCUGGUGAGCAAAAAGAAUGAUUCUUGACCAUGCUGAGAGCUUACCCAAUCCAUCAGUGUUAACCCAGACAGAUAUUAGCUUUCGUUUGACGCCCCAGAGAGAAGUACCAAUAAGAAAUCAUCAUUUCCAUGAUGAAAGGCCAGCUAUAGGCAGUUUAUGCCUGAUGUGGUUCCAGGAAUCCCUCAAGAACCUGGCUACGGAUCUCAACCUCAUUAUCCAACAUGACUGCCAGCUCUCCAACCAUCACAUCUGUUUCAAGAAACAGAAUAGAAAAAAAUGA